GACGAAGGUGGCAAGCGUUAUUCGAAAUCACUGGGCUUAAAGGGUGCGUAGGCGGAACUGUAAGUGUUUUGUGAAAUCCCUCGGCUUAACCGAGGAAUUGCUUGGCAAACUGCAGUUCUUGAGGCAAGUAGGGGUGUGUGGAACUCUUGGUGGAGCGGUGGAAUGCGUAGAUAUCAAGAGGAACGCCGAAGGUGAAGACAGCACACUGGACUUGUUCUGACGCUGAGGCACGAAAGCGUGGGGAGCAAACAGG
rnacentral:rRNA from 1 species